UUGUAAAGUUUUAAAAACUUUCAAUUAAAAAAAAAAGAGUCUGUGGGUGUGAGUGUGGGUGUGUGAGAGACAGAGAGAGAGAGUGAAAGACUGUGUGUGUGUAUCUUAACCACUUCAUCACUUUGGUUGUCCUUUAGUGUGAUUAACUGUAAAUUUUCUCUGGUUUCCUAGACUUGCUUGGCAAACGAGGGGAUGCCUGUUUAUAAGGUGGAGAUAAAAAGACAGCAGAAAAGAAGACAUUUCCAGGAUGCAAACAGAAGCCUCUCCUUCAACGCCUGCCUCCAGUUCCCCUCGUUUACCCUCCUAAUCUGGUCUGCUAUUCAGAGGUGGCACUUUCUGGUUUGUUGACCUCAGAGCUCAAGAGUAGAGAAGGUCUUCACCAAGUCUACCUUCACGGAUGGCUGUGCCACACACCAGCUUAAGCUCGGGUCACCCCCGAGAGCAAAACCAUUUCAAAUGCCAGAGGCAAAACCAGCUCCUCUUCCUUUGCUCAUCGCAACGGGAUUGCAUUUGAUCGUCGCUUUUCCUGCCUUUGGAUAAGCUCCCAUUUCUCUUCUCGUACCCCGGGGAUGUGCCCACUAUCGGGAAAUCGCUUCGCCUAGAAGUGAAAAAAUGCUGCACGGAGUGUUUUCACUCGCCAGUUUAUCUUGCCCAGGCAACCGGUCGGACGAAACCCUCCCACGGAGACUUGCAUUGCCAAAUUAAAACAUGAACAAAAUCAGAAUGAAAUCUGGAACACCCUGAAAGGAAAUAAGCUCCCCCAAAUAGCAACACUCCAGCUGAAACUCCUGUGAACAACAGGAAGUUCUUCUCUGCAUAUCCUGUUUGCGGAAUUUUUAGAUGCGGGUGAAUGUUUGUGGAGAUGGCGUGUGACGCAGAGGCUGAAGCCAACAAUAAGAAUAGCUGUCCUCCAAUCUUUCAACCUUCUCUUUACAUUCACAUUUGGACCUGACAGCUGGAAUUGGCAGCCUUUCCCAGCCUCCACACAAAUAAAGGGGUAUCGGAAAGAGACGUGAUGGACUCUAAAGCUUGCAAAUGAAACUUUUAACAGAUCGGCUUUAAAUGGAUCUUGGGUGCUCAGCUGAAAUUACAGGGCAAGAUACAAAGGUCUUGAGAUCACAGUGGAAGGACCAGUUCUGCUGUUGGGUGACGAUCCCAGAGUUGAUGGAGCUCCCACUGAAAAGGCUCUGUUGUGGAAAACAGCUAAGGGUGAUUGCCUUUUGACAAUAAUAAAGCACAGCAUCACCUACCGACACUUGUCAGUUGAGCUGAGUUUGCAAGUUGCUACACAGGGCUGGCUGGCACAGGCUGGAAUGUGAGCUGCUUCCCCAAGACUGUCAGCCAAGCCUGCUACAGAGCUGGAGGACUCAGAGCACAUUGAAAAACAGCAAUGAAGCAAGGACUUUGUGUCUUGAGAACAGUCCAUAACCGGAGUCACGCCUUGACUUCUACCCCCCCCCCCCGGUGCUAUUUGGCUUUGGGGUAGCGUGAUGCCACUGUGGUUUGAAAGUUGUGAUUUAUGACUUGGCACCUUAUGUGAACUCAACCAAAGAUCCUUUAUUCAACCCAUCAAGAGCAAACCCUGGCUUCAUUCUGUGUGUAAACUCAACAUUCAUAUCUCACACACUAAGGGUAAUCUGUCCGUCUGAAUCUUCUUUCCUUCCUUAGGUGGCAGGCCUGCAUGAAUUAAUAGAUUUGCCAGGGUCAUGGGUUAUUUUGCUCCUGUUAGCAAGCCACUUAAAUGACUUUCCAACAGCUGCUUGAAUAGCCCAUAAAAUGUACCUCCUACCGACAGAUGCAUAGACCCCUUGUGUAGAUUUACGUGGAAAUAGUCAAGAUGGCAGCCAUCAUGAUCUGAUUGAAAUCUUUUUUUAUAUGCAGAACACACACACACACAAAUUCAACUGUGGCUGUCUUCUUGACCUGUUUUCCUCCCCACCUCAUGCCAUGGAUGGUCCUACACUGGAUGAUCAAAUUUAGGGGUAGGAGAAGCUUCAGAAUCCUGCUCUGAGCAUGGAGCCAGCUCCCAAACCCAGCUGCAAGGCAGAUGUUUCAGUAGCUACACAUCCAGCCAAAGUUCAAACACGGCCGUUGUCCUCCUGGCAUAGGAUGCUUGGAAUGUGACAUCUAUUGGACCUCUGCCUGCUUCUCAGCUGUAGAAGCCCAAAUCUUCUGGUAGAAGGUGCUCCUCUGCAGUGAAAAUGGGAAGGUGCAUGAAAGUACGUUAAAGGUGUUGGCAGGUCAGGUAAGGUAAAACCUGUCUUUGCAAUUUGAAUGGGAAUUAUAAUUGCUUUGGAAUCGCUUGCUAUAUUCAGCCAGGAAUUGUUGGCACUGAACCACGUGGGGAAUGGAGCAAAGGGAAGGCCAGGUCAUGCCCUGAUCCAAUUUCACUCAAAACUCAUCACCUGGGCAAGUUUUCUGAGGCCAAACAGAUUUAAGUUCUCAGAAUCCAUUGCCAUCCAGGCAGUAUUUGUUAAGAAAAAAAAUAGUCUAUACAAAUAUGGCUUAUUGAACCACAAUGCAGAGGGUUCAGAGAAUAUGCUAAACCAUGGUUGGCCAACCAUGGGGCUGGGCUCAAUUCUAGACAGAAGCAAACCAACGGAGUCAUGACAGAAGCAAACCAACGGAGUCAUGGGUUAGUGUGAUGUGUGAAGACAACCAAUACAAUCUUAGUUUGUCAUAGCAGGUUCUUUCAAGCCAGUCCUGUGAAUGGUCAGCCAUGAUUUAUAGCUUUGUGUUGGGUGAAUCCAGGUCAGUUGGGCUCAAUGCACAAACCAUAGUUAAGUGAACCAAAGCUAAGUGAGUUAUCUGAAAGUUGCAGGGAUGAACUAAGGUUCAGGCUUGCCUGAUCUGGCAUCCUUCAGGUUGGACUCCAAAUUUAGAACGUCAGAGCAUAGAACCCCAGAGUUGGAAAGGAUCUGGGAGGUCAUCUAGCCCAACUCAAGCAGGAGAUCCUAUACCAUUUCAGACAAAUGGCUGUCCAGUCUCACAAUAGCUGCCAAAUGUUCACUCUUGACAAGGAGUGUCCCGUACCAAACAGCAUCCUUUUGAUUUUGGCACAUUAUGCUAAGCACAAAAUUGGUAUUACGACCAUAGUUUUGGCGGAUUUGGCAUCGCGGUUAAAAACUGCCUGCCCUUGGACGUGCCCCAAGAGUCUCUGGUGGAGAAAAGAGUAUUUUCUGCUUCCUUGUUUUUUGUUCUUGAGGAAACAUUCACUUUCUGAAGAACUAGCCACCAGAUCAUUGAAUGCUUCUCGGCCCUUGUUAGACUCUCCACCCGGGCCACGGUUGCUAAGCAGCUGUUAGCCAAACAUCCAAAGUCAAUAUGUACUAUCUCUCUGACGUCAGCUGAGUUAAAGAUUAUUUCAAAUAAAGUUGCUGUGUGUAUUAAAGGCUUUUCCUGUGUGUGCAACUUGCCAGCCAUUGUCCAUAUUUUGGAGACUCCAGCCUUGCCCAGUCAGAUGUCCUCUGCAUUGUCCAUCCUUCCCAAACAGGAGGGCCAACGUCCUGGGAGUAGCUAUCCCUCACCACUCACCAACUGGGACGGCUAAACCUCACCAGGUUUAUGCUGCUUAUGUGUAGAAUUAUAAGUGUUCCACUAAGACAGGGGUAGACAACCUUGGCUCUUUUUUUAUGACUCAUGGACUUCAACUCCCAGAAUUCCUGAGCCAGCAUGGCUCAGCUUGGAAACCUCUCCCUUUCCCCUCAGCAUAGCUAGCUCAGGAAUUCUGGGAGUUGAGGUCCACGAGUCAUGAAAGAGCCAAGGUUGCCUACCCCUGCACAAGGAGAACUCCAGAUUGGGAAAACUAAUGACGACGACAAAAUUUCCUAAAUUGUCCAAAAUGCUGAGUCUUCCCCAGAAGAAAUGGAAUCUUUCCCAAAUUGGAAACAACCAAUUUCCAGAUGGAUUUUUUUUAAUUGGGUUUUCUUUUUCUGUUUCUGGGCUCUUGUUUGCAUUUAGAUGCAUUUUCCUUUUGUGUGUGUGUGUUUAGUUUUGUUUUGUUUUUCAAUAGCACAAUAAAAAUAACUGCAGGAAAUUGGAUACAUAGGUUUUUUUUUUUUUAAAUUAACACAUAACAUCUCUUUUUUAAGGAUUUGUAUAUCUUUAGCAAUUAUGUAUCCCUCACCGAUGUAUGGUGGGUGCACUGAAUCCCUCUGCAUUAUUAUUUAUUUAGGUAUUCCAUUCAGAACUUGGUUUUUUUUCCAGGUGCUGUCUGGGAGUUUCUCUCCACCACCACCCCCCCACUUUAUCUCACAAUAUCUCUUUGUUUUCAAUCCCAGUUUAAGGCCUUAAUCUUUGUACUCAUCUCCUGCUUUAAAAAACAACAACAACAGACCAACACAAUCUUACAGUAUUUAAUUCAUUUUACAAAGCCCUGUACGUUACUAAGAGCAAUCUGCGUGCUUAGCAAGAUCCUUCCUUGUGGUCAGACGGGGGUCAAACCAGCUUUUUCAUGUCUGAAAAUAAUUAACCUUUCUUCCUCCUCUAAAUUUUCAAAAACGUGGGCAGAGUUUGCCCAGUUUCAGCCCGAUGUGGCUUUCCUUUUUUUUUUUUUUUACGGCUUAAAGGACGAGCACCUGCAGCGAAGGUUUAUGACUGGAAAAACCAUUUAACACUACGAACUCUCUUGAAAUCCGAUGGUUUAGUUGGUCAAUUGUUAAUGCAACAACCCCUUGGGGGCUUGGAAUUUGCUUCUUGCAAAUCAGUAAGGGUGUUUACCCUCUGGUAACACUGUGACCUUUCGGGGCACUGACCUAGUACAGAAAUAAAAUUUGGUUCACCUUGUCACAACUCAAUGGCGCAACUUACUUACGCUAUUUGCACAGACUGGGUGUCAGGUGAUUCAAUCCCAGCUCAGCUGAGCAAGAUUAGAGAAGGUGGCCAGGCCAGGCCAGGAGAAAAUCUACCCUGCUGGCAAAAGCAGAGCCCAGCCAAACACCCUUACCACCUACAACCGGUUGCAAACUUUCCUCUUAGGUUAAUUAACUCACCCCACCUCUCUCCUCCAUCAAUAGGAUUUUUUCAUUUCACCCUCCCCCCCUCCAGCUGCUUCUCCUGGGGCUACACUUUGCUAACAAUCAAUGUUUGGUGAUUUCCAAACAGAGAUAAAAUUCCAGGGCCUGUUUGGGACCGAGAGAGUCCUCCUAUCUCCCCCCCCCCACCAUAAUGUAAAACAACAAUGAAGGUGUUUCAUGCAUAAAGGUCACACGGCCGGGCGGUGUGAAACAAGCCUACUGUAUUGCAUUCUUUUCUUUUUCCUAUUUGUCUCCCCCCCCAUCUCUUAAAAACAACACAAAACGUGACACAUCAAGCUAUUUACACAAGAGUCCAUUGGAAAAUACGCCCCACCUGGACAAUUAAAAUCUACAAGGGAACAAGAGGAAACAUGUAUGUGUUUUUUGUUGUUGUUAUCAUGAUUGCUUUUUGCAUCACUGUGGUUUGGUGAAGAGAGCAGUGUCGGGAAGAAAAAGGAUCUGUGCGUUAAAAGUGACUUUCAAAAGUUCGGACAGACCCACCUGGCCAUUUGUGAGGGGUUGUGGGAUCGUAACUCUCGUUAUAGCUACUGUGGUAGCUUGGGGAUAAUGGGGAGUGUAAUCCAAAGCAUGGGGGGGGGCGAGAAGAUUUCAGAAGGCGCCAGCUGCAUGACAGGAAUGAAACUCAAAUACUUUGGCCACCUAAUGAGAAGGAAGGACUCACUGGAGAAGGGCCUAAUGCUGGGAAAGAUUGAGAG